UACGAAGGGUGCAAGCGUUGCUCGGAAUUAUUGGGCGUAAAGGGUAGGUAGGUGGUGAUAAAAGUCUGGAGUGAAAUCCCUGAGCUUAACUUAGGACGUGCUUUGGAAACUUUAUCACUAGAGUACUAGAGAGGUUCGUGGAAUUCCUGGUGUAGCGGUGAAAUGCGUAGAGAUCAGGAGGAACAUCAGCGGCGAAGGCGGCGAACUGGAUAGUAACUGACACUCAACUACGAAAGCGUGGGGAGCAAACAGG
rnacentral:rRNA from 1 species